UAAGAUACACGACAUCUCCAUUUUAACCCAUACACGACCUCUCCAUUUCCCUCAACAGCCCAGAUUCCUAUAUGUAAACCUCUAUUCCCCCCUUCUUUAACUACCAUGAUAGUAUGAGGUCAAAGGAAACUAUUCCAUUUGUUCAGAAUUUCCUAUUGACAAUUUAAGUGCAUUUUAGAGUCAAUGGAAAAGCACAAAACAUGAUGGAUCUGAAGCUCCAUGAAAUAACAUUAUUGGUUCCAUCAUACUAUUCUAUAUGUGUGAGGCGGUCGAGCUGAGUUGGCAGGGUGAAAAACAUUAUCCCAGUCUCGAAAGGGUGUUUGGCCCCACAAUUGUUGUGCUCUGAUGGCGAUGCAUGGUUGGUGGCAUAUCUAACUUUGGGGUUUGAUGGCCUGUAAAUGGAGUGAGACAAUCCCACAGACUCGACAUAAUAUGCCUCCUGACGCGGUCUCUAUAGUCUAUAGAUGGUGCCUAUUUUGCGUGAUGUAGCUCAGCCAACAGUAUUGUCAUGAGUUAUGUUGAUAUGGGAUGUUGUGAUCGAAUGAGAUAUGGUUUAUAAUCCUACAAUAUGUGACUUAAGGGAUGUGCUUGGUUUGUAGUGUUUACCA